CUCAACUCGGAAGCGGCAUCAGAUACUAUCUCGAUAGAGGGUCGGAGAGGAGACUGGAAUUCUCGGUGUAGCAGUGAAAUGCGUAGAUAUCGAGAGGAACGCCGGUGGCGAAAGCGAGUCUCUGGACGACGCCUGACGCUGAGGCACGAAGGCUAGGGGAGCAAACAGGAUUAGAUACCCUGGUAGUCCUAGCAGUAAACGAUGCACACUGGCUGUGGGCGGAUUCGACCCCGUCCGUGGCGAAGCUAACGCGCUAAGUGUGCCGCCUGAGGAGUACGGCCGCAAGGCUAAAACUCAAAGAAAUUGACGGGGGCCUGCACAACCGGUGGAGUAUGUGGCUUAAUUCGAUGCAACGCGAAGAACCUUACCUGGGCUUGACAUGUAGGCAGUAGGGGCCUGAAAGGGUUUCCGAGGUCUUCGGACCAACC
rnacentral:rRNA from 1 species